rnacentral:rRNA from 1 species
CACGUAGGGCGCAAGCGUUGUCCGGAAUUAUUGGGCGUAAAGAGCUCGUAGGCGGGUCUGUUGCGUCCGCUGUGAAAACUCGGGGCUUAACCCCGGGCCUGCAGUGGGUACGGGCAGACUAGAGUGCGGUAGGGGAGACUGGAAUUCCUGGUGUAGCGGUGAAAUGCGCAGAUAUCAGGAGGAACACCGGUGGCGAAGGCGGGUCUCUGGGCCGUAACUGACGCUGGAGGAGCGAAAGCGUGGGGAGCGAACAGG